rnacentral:misc_RNA from 1 species
UUUUUUUUAUUAUUAUUUUAUUUAUAUAUCUUCUUUUCGAGCUUGUUAAUGAGCUGUUUCUUAUCUCGAUAUAGCCUGCGAAUACAGUCCAGCAUUUACUGAGGGUUUGGUGAGAAUGUUUAUGGCAACGCUAUUUUCUCCAUGAACCCUUCUCUGAUUCGUGUCCUAGGAGCGCCGAUCCACCAAUGUGCUUUUCUUUUUUAAAUUUGCUAACGGCUUCUUUUUUUCGGACUCUUUUAUCGCUUUCCCUGUUUUUCUUUAUUAAUUUCUUAACUAAGAUUUAAUUAAGUGUAAAUUACUCUAAGGUCCUUAUAGUUUGUCAAAAUUAAUUAUUUAAUCUUUAUUUUUUACAAUCUAAUCAAAUCAUUUAUGUAUUUUAUAAAAUCAUACUUUUUAUUCCUUUUAUUUAAAAAAGAAAUAGUCAAUUUAUUUUAACAUUAAGUAUUUGUACUAUUUAAUUCUUAUAAUUUUAAUUAUCUAUACUAUUUAGUCUCUCUCUAAUCAACGCUAAAACAAGUUGAAUAAUAUUUUCUUCUACAGAAAUCCAACAGAAGGAUUGAAGAAUUUAAUUUUACAAAAUACAAUGAUAUUUUAAUUGGUUUUAAAAAAUAAGAACUAAAUAGUUCAUUUUUAUAAACUAUAAAAACCUGAUAGUAAUUUAUCCCUUUAAUUAAAUGUUGUAUAGAUAAUAUUUAUUUUUACUAGUGGAUUUUAAACAAAUUAUACUUAAAUUAUUUUAAAAAUUGUGAGAUUACAAAUUUGGACUUGAUCAUGAAAGUCCAACCACAUACAUUCAUCAUGUCUAAACUACUCUUUAUUCCAAAUGAAACUGUAAUCAUGGACCUCAUGUAAGAGACAUGAUUCACGAGUUAUAUUUUCUGCUCAUCUUUGGUUCACUUAGCAACACUGUUAUAUAUUUAUGAACAUAAAGAUUCACAGUAUAUUUUGAUGGACAUGAAAUUACAAUUUUCUAUUUUACCAUAUUCAUUUUAUAAUUUGUCUGUUCAUGAAGCAAUAUUUAGGUUCUAUACGAACUUGGAAUUGUAUUAUUUAAUAAGCCAGACUGAAAAUUGAUGAAGUAAGAUAUAUAACACAAAAAGGGGACAAUAAACUUGAUUUUAUUAUUAUCUGUCACAAAUGAAACUGCAGGCCUUAAAAUUUUUUUAUUGUAAUAGAAAGCGAGAACACACAAUUUUGGUGCAUGCCUAUGUAUAUAGAAAAAUACUAUUAGCUAUAUUUAUACUUCUGCGAUCCUUUUGCAUGGCUAGAGUUGAUUGGUAAUUGCAAGAACUGGGUCCAUUUCAUUUAAUGCACAAGUAAAUGAUUAGCUUGUAUUAGUUUGAUCUAUUAAUACAAUAAAUAAUGCAUGCUAUACCCUAAUAAUAAUAUCAUUUGAAGAGGAAAUCAAUAAUUGCUUCUAGUUUUGACAUAUCAAUUUCUUUGGUAAACUGCAGGAAGGAUACAUGGUGCCAGCAAGCAAGUGUGAGCCAAUGCCAAGAAACAAGCUGCUAAGCCCUGUGAUAUUUCACGAGGGACGAUUAGUUCAGAGGCCUACUCCUCUGGUUGCCCUCUUGACAUUUCUAUGGAUGCCAAUUGGAAUUAUUCUGUCAAUCCUCAGGGUCUACCUUAAUAUCCCAUUGCCUGAGAGAAUUGCCUGGUACAAUUACAAGAUCCUGGGAAUUAAAGUUGUGGUUAAGGGCACUCCUCCACCACCUCCCAGGAAAGGCCAAAGUGGAGUUCUCUUCAUUUGCAACCAUCGUACUGUUUUAGACCCUGUUGUGACUGCAGUAGCCCUAAGAAGAAAAAUUAGCUGUGUGACGUAUAGCAUAAGCAAGUUCACUGAAAUAAUUUCGCCCAUUAAAGCUGUUGCUUUAUCAAGGGAGAGAGAAAAAGAUGCCGCUAAUAUCAAGCGUCUGCUGGAGGAAGGUGACUUGGUGAUCUGCCCUGAAGGGACCACCUGUAGAGAGCCAUUUCUUUUAAGAUUUAGUGCUCUUUUUGCUGAACUUACAGAUAGAAUAGUGCCUGUUGCAAUUAAUACAAAACAAACAGUCUUCCAUGGCACUACAGUUCGAGGGCACAAAUUGUUGGAUCCUUAUUUCGUGUUCAUGAAUCCAAUGCCAACUUAUGAGAUCACCUUCUUGAAUCAGCUGCCCACGGAGCUCACUUGCACAGGUGGGAAAUCCGCCAUUGAAGUUGCAAAUUACAUACAGAAGGUGCUUGCUGGGACACUGGGAUUUGAGUGUACUAGUUUGACUAGGAAGGACAAGUAUGCUGCGCUUGCAGGCACAGAUGGCCGAGUUCCAUCUAAAAAGGAAAAAGAAAACGAAAAAGAAAAGGCUUAAGAUAGAAGAAAUUGGCAUAAAUUUGCAAAUUUCUUUAUCUCCUUAUUAAUUGUUUUCAUAUGUUUGAAACUUUAUCACAAAAAUAAACAUUUAUCUUAAUGAUGUUCAGUAUAAAUCAAAUAACCUUUUUUUUAAAUUUUCUAAUCUAUAUUAUAUAUUGCUUCUUAUUUUUUAUAUACAUUACAUAUUUUAUAAUCUAGCUAGCUAUUUAUGUGUUCACAUGUAAAUGUAAUUAAUUUUCACCUCUAAAAGGCGUUUCAUUAGGAGGCAACCCUGGUGAUGGUGAUGUUAGUGGCAGCCGCGGCAGCUUAGUAGGGGCCAUAUAGUAGCUAAUGGCUGGUGAGAUGUGAUGAAGGCUAGCUUCAGCUGAGUGGAUGUUUGUAAAACUGCGUUAAUUGCAUUGCUGUUUUUUUGGCUUAUAAAUGCCAUUGCAUUUUAAACAAUCGUCCAACACAAAAUAACAAUAAUACAUUUAAUUUAUUAUAAAUUAAGACAUAAUUUGAUGAGUCUGAC